rnacentral:rRNA from 1 species
GAUGAACGCUGGCGGCGUGCCUAAUACAUGCAAGUCGAGCGAACAGACUAGGAGCUUUCUCCUCUGACGUUAGCGGCGGACGGGUGAGUAACAUGUGGAUAACCUACCUAUAAGACUGGGAUAACUUCGGGAAACCGGAGCUAAUACCGGAUAAUAUAUUGAACCGCAUGGUUCAAUAGUGAAUGACGGUUUUGCUGUCACUUAUAGAUUGAUCCGCGCCGCAUUAGCUAGUUGGUAAGGUAACGGCUUACCAAGGCAACGACGCGUAGCCGACCUGAGAGGGCGAUCGCCGACCUUAGAGCUUGGAAGCGGGCUAGUGCUCAUCGGGAGGCAGCAGUAGGGGAUGAUGCGCAAUUGGAGAAACAAUGACGGAGCAACGAAGCGCGAGUGGAGAAGGAGUUAGGGACGGAAAACACGCUUAAUAGGGAACAACAAAUGUGUAAGGAAAUACAGACGUCGUGACGGUACCUGAACACGAAGCACCGGCUAAAUACGUG